GCAAUCCUGAACCCAGGGUUGGGAGGGUUGUUUCUCAAGCUGUGAAAUAUGCAAAGCCUUAUGGCCAUUUCUGACAUAUGGUUAAAAAAUCUGCAGACAACACAUGAUCCUUGGUUGGCGUCAAGAGAACCACCUUCACCAAUUAGUCCAAUGAAGACAAACUCCUAGAACAAACAUCCUCUGCCACAAGAGCUGCCUGGAUGGGUAAAACUAGAUAACUGAAAGACUACAGACUUUUGAGAACGUAUCCCAAGACACAUGAUUACCAGCACCUGGUGUUCAACCUCCUCCUGCCCUGACUGAAAGUCUCCCACCAGGAAAUGACAAAGGCUGCCAGCCUAUUCAUUCUGGAGGAAUUUGAUGUCUCUCAACUGUUAUGUGCAAGUUGGGAAAUAAACUUCCUGCCACUGAAACUCUUCAAUGAGCAAAUACAAGUUUGUUCUUUGUAUUAACAAUGAGAAAAUGAUUUUCUUAAAACCAAACAAAGUAUUGUCUGGACAAAUGUCGGUGUGUUGGAUUAUGUUCCUAAACCAUCAAACAGUAGGUGUACUUCACAUUGCAGUUUUUCAAAGAUCCAUUGAGGAUUCAAGAAAGGUGCCAGGAAUAUAGAGGCAAAUAUGACGGACUUUGACCCUGCCUUCCUAGCACUGUCUGCUCCUGAAGGAGAGAAAGCCAUGUCUUCCACCUGUGUUCCUCCAUAUGAUGUGUCUUAUCUCAGGCCCCAGAAGGAUGAUCUGGAGAGGGUCUGGGCAAUGAAAAGGGAGUGAGCUUCUCAAGGGCACGUGGCAGAGCCAAGCUUGGAUUGCCUGGUGUGGCAGUCAACAACCACCACCACAUCCGAUGACUAAAAUGUAAGGGGAAAAAAAGAAGAAGAAAAAGAAGGAAGAGAUCAAGAAAUAACAAGCUCAAGGGAAACAAAACAGUACUUCCAGAUUCAAAUGUUCAACAUGAAAAGAAAAGAGACGAAUAUAUUGCCAAAUGAGAUCUAUGCAAAUCAUGUUCAAUAGAGCUCUCUGUUGAUUUUGAUGUGAAGGUAGGCUCGGAGCAGCAAAGCUAGUUCGUGUAGAGUGAGAGACUCUUUGCACCACAGUUCAAUCAACUGAAAGAAAAAAAAAAUGUGGAGGACAAGCAAGC
rnacentral:lncRNA from 1 species